GCAGUUGUUUGGGCUGUCGCUGUGGCUGGUUCUGCGGUGUGCGGCCAGCCAUGGAGCGCUCUGGGCCCAGCGAAGUGACAGGCUCAGACGCAUCGGGACCGGACCCGCAGCUUGUGGUCACCAUGGGCUUCACGGGGUUCGGGGUUCGGUAAAAAAGCUCACACAUUUGACUUGGAAGCAAUGUUUGAACAAACUCAAAGAACAGCUGUGGAAAGAAGUCACAAAACACUGGGCCACCAGGAACACACCUGUAGCCCAGCAAAGUUGAGGCCAUCGACUGGCUCAUCACAACAAGGAAGGCUGUGCACCACUGGGACCCAGCAGCAGCUCAGCAGCAGCAGUGAGAGGGCCUUGGGAAAGACUUGGAGGGUUUGGCUUAUACAAGACCAGAUUACAGAGGGGUAUUGAUUUGCCUUGCCCCCGCCCCCACCAUCACAGUGUGUCCCUGUCCAGUGUUGGUGCUGUGUGGCAUUGCUUGUGUCCAUAGGAGUCCAUCAAGGCAGAGCGGCAGAGCGGCAAGCAGAGCGGCAAGGCAGUUCAACCCAAUGGAAAUGGAUUGAAAGAGUGAAAGUCACUGGUCUCAAAGAAUCUACGGAAUUUAGCAUUUUGAAAAUCACAGAGCAAUUUUGGGUAGGUAUUCACAUGCACUAAAAAACCAGGCAAACAUCUGACUCCCAGGAUAAAGUGACUGAGAGCAGUAGAAGACUUGUUGAGCCUUAAGGAAUAAGAGGAAAAUUAUGUUAUGAAGUGCAGGAACAGCACAGACCCAGACGAGGGGAUGCAGCCCGGAGCCAGUAACCCGGCGCCUCCUCCUCCCCAGGGCGCAGCGCUGGCUGCUCCCCGGAUACCGUGAUCACACGUCCCAGGUCCUGAGAGCGCCUCAUAGGUAGACAGUUCUUUGGGACUUUUGGGACGCAGCACUUGAAGAGAGGUUUACCUAAACUUUCCUCCUGGGAGCCUGUCAUCAUUUGAAAGUAACAGAAGAAAGCUGUCAGGCUGAGGAAAGUUUCAACAGGCACUUGGUGAGAAUGGGAAGCAUCCAUUCAUUGGGAAAUCACGGGGACAGAGGAGGAAUUCACGGGAUCAGAGCACUGAGAAACUCCAGAGGCUUCUGGUUCACCGCCCUGAUUCCACAGAUGUGGGUCAGAGGCAGAGAUGGAAGUUGGAAUGGACAAGCCUGCCCUCUCCUCAGCUCUCCAUGGCUCUGUCCUCAGGCUGUUUCUGCAAUUUGACAUGAGGCCUGGCCCCAGGGAAACCAGUGGGGCCUCAUCUCCUCCCUGUGCUGCUCUGAGGUGGAGCCUUCUCAGGGUCAGUCCAGCUCUGGAGCCCCUCUCCAGCUCGGUCACCAAAGCUGUCUGGUCCCAGGGCAGUGUGGAGUGACAGGCACGCCAGCCAAUCCAAUCGGCCAUUUCAUACCCAAUGCAUGUGACUGAUAAAGAGAUAACACCCUGUCUCCAAGACACAGGCUUUACAUAAACAGCUUUAAUGACUUCUUCACUUAGGGACAAGACUCCUUAGUGGUGGAACCUCAGGCAUCCAUGCAGGAUGUAAGAAAGCUCCCGUAUAUACAUGAACUGAGAAGUGUGUAGAAGAGUAAAUACUGUAAUAGGUAAUAAAAUGUAUGUAUUUUUAUUUA
rnacentral:lncRNA from 1 species